CUACUGCUGCUUUUACAGCUGCUGCUUCUGCUGCUGUUGCCACUACUAUUGCUGCUGUUGCUGCUCCGUUGCAGCAGCAGCAGCAGCUGCUGCUGCAGCUGCUGCUGCUCCGUUGCAGCAGCAGCAGCAGCUGCUGCUGCAGCUGCUGCUGCUCCUGCUGCAGCUGCAGCUGCUGCUGCUGCAGCUGCUGCUGCUGCUGCUGCAGCUGCUGCUGCUCCUGCUGCAGCUGCUGCAGCAGCAGCUGCUGCUGCUGUUAUAUAUCUAAAGCAGCAUUCCACC
rnacentral:ncRNA from 1 species